rnacentral:rRNA from 1 species
UACGGAGGAUGCGAGCGUUAUCCGGAUUCAUUGGGUUUAAAGGGUGCGUAGGCGGACUUAUAAGUCAGUGGUGAAAACCUGCAGCUUAACUGUAGACGUGCCAUUGAUACUGUUAGUCUUGAGUAUGGUCAAGGUAGGCGGAAUGUGUAAUGUAGCGGUGAAAUGCUUAGAUAUUACACAGAACACCGAUUGCGAAGGCAGCUUACUGGGCCAUUACUGACGCUGAUGCACGAAAGCGUGGGGAGCGAACAGGAUUAGAUACCCUGGUAGUCCACGCCGUAAACGAUGAUCACUCGCUGUUAGCGAUACACAGUUAGCGGCUAAGCAAAAGCAUUAAGUGAUCCACCUGGGGAGUACGGCCGCAAGGCUGAA